ACCCAGACUCCUACGGGAGGCAGCAGUGAGGAAUAUUGGUCAAUGGGCUUACGCCUGAACCAGCCAAGUCGCGUGAGGGAAGACUGCCCUAUGGGUUGUAAACCUCUUUUGUCAGGGAGCAACGCCGGCUACGUGUAGCCGGACUGAGAGUACCUGAAGAAAAAGCAUCGGCUAACUCCGUGCCAGCAGCCGCGGUAAUACGGAGGAUGCGAGCGUUAUCCGGAUUUAUUGGGUUUAAAGGGUGCGUAGGCGGAACAUUAAGUCAGCGGUAAAAUCGAGGGGCUCAACCCCUUUAAGCCGUUGAAACUGGUGAUCUUGAGUGGGCGAGAAGUAUGCGGAAUGCGUGGUGUAGCGGUGAAAUGCAUAGAUAUCAGGAGGAACACCGGUGGCGAAGGCGGCCUGCUGGACUGCAACUGACGUUGAGGCCCGAAAGCGUGGGGAGCAAACAGGAUUAGAUACCCUCGUAAUA
rnacentral:rRNA from 1 species